rnacentral:rRNA from 1 species
UACGAAGGGUGCAAACGUUGCUCGGAAUCAUUGGGCGUAAAGCGCACGUAGGCGGCUUAGCAAGUCGGAUGUGAAAGCCCUCGGCUCAACCAAGGAAGUGCAUCCGAAACUGCUGAGCUUGAGUACUUAAGAGGAUCGCGGAAUUCCCGGUGUAGAGGUGAAAUUCGUAGAUAUCGGGAGGAACACCAGUGGCGAAGGCGGCGAUCUGGGAAGAUACUGACGCUGAGGUGCGAAAGCGUGGGGAGCAAACAGG